UUGAUUCAAAGUACAACAAGAGAGGAGAGUAAGAAGGAUACAAGGAGGGGAUAGUGGUGGUUCUAUGGAGGUCAAUUCACCUAAAGAGGCGAAGAGUUAGAAAGGAAUAAGAGGAUAGACUGAUUAUGAGAGAGGAAUGAUUUGCUUAAAGUAACCUUAAGGUUGAAAAGUCGAUCCCUUCUUCAUCAUUGGAAGGGUAUUUAUAGGAG
rnacentral:lncRNA from 1 species